rnacentral:rRNA from 1 species
UUGCCCUAGUAACGGCGAGCGAAGCGGCAACAGCUCAAAUUUGAAAUCUGGCUACUUUGUAGUCCGAGUUGUAAUUUGUAGAGGAUGCUUUUGGUGAGGUGCCUUCCGAGUUCCCUGGAACGGGACGCCAGAGAGGGUGAGAGCCCCGUACGGUUGGAUACCAAACCUUUGUAUAGCUCCUUCAACGAGUCGAGUAGUUUGGGAAUGCUGCUCUAAAUGGGAGGUAUAUCUCUUCUAAAGCUAAAUAUAGGCUAGAGACCGAUAGCGCACAAGUAGAGUGAUCGAAAGAUGAAAAGCACUUUGAAAAGAGAGUUAAACAGCACGUGAAAUUGUUGAAAGGGAAGCGCCUAUGACCAGACUUGUUUCUUUCAGUUUUGUUAGUUCUCGGACUGAUUUACUCUGUUAGUACAGGCCAGCAUCAGUUUGUUGUCGGGGAGAAAGGCUUAGGGAAUGUGGCUCCUUCGGGAGUGUUAUAGCCCUUUGCAUAAUACCCUUCGGCAGACUGAGGACCGCGCUUCGGCAAGGAUGCUGGCGUAAUGGUCAUCAGCGACCCGUCUUGAAACACGGACCAAGGAGUCAACCUUAUGUGCGAGUGUUUGGGUGUAAAACCCCAGCGCGUAAUGAACGUGAACGUAGGUGAGAGCUUCGGCGCAUCAUCGACCGAUUCUGAUGUUCUCGGAUGGAUUUGAGUAAGAGCACACAGGGUUGGACCCGAAAGAAGGUGAACUAUGCUUGUAUAGGGUGAAGCCAGAGGAAACUCUGGUGGAGGCUCGCAGCGGUUCUGACGUGCAAAUCGAUCGUCAAAUAUGAGCAUGGGGGCGAAAGAC